rnacentral:rRNA from 1 species
UCUUUCUUUGCUGGCGACCGGCGCACGGGUGAGUAACACGUAUCCAACCUGCCCUUUACUCGGGGAUAGCCUUUCGAAAGAAAGAUUAAUACCCGAUAGUAUAAUGAUUCCGCAUGGUUUCAUUAUUAAAGGAUUCCGGUAAAGGAUGGGGAUGCGUUCCAUUAGGUUGUUGGUGAGGUAACGGCUCACCAAGCCUUCGAUGGAUAGGGGUUCUGAGAGGAAGGUCCCCCGCAUUGGAACUGAGACACGGUCCAA